rnacentral:lncRNA from 1 species
UUUAUACACUUCUUUCUUUAAAAAACAUUUUUUUUAUAAUUAUCAGUCAAAAUUGAAAAAACCCAACACAAACGCACCAAAUCUCUUCACAGAUGGCGAACUGUUUUAUCAACUUUUCAACAAGUCUAGAACAGCAAUGCCGAUGAGUUAAAAAAAAAUCCAAAGAACAUAAACUUUCAAAAGCCUCAAGCUAUAAGUAUACUAUAUCAUAUUUGCCCUGGAUAUCAAUGUGCCUUAAUUGCUGAAAUAGGAGAAGGAAGAUGAGUUGUUAUAUG